rnacentral:rRNA from 1 species
GAUGAACGCUGGCGGCGUGCCUAAUACAUGCAAGUCGAGCGAACAGACGAGGAGCUUGCUCCUCUGACGUUAGCGGCGGACGGGUGAGUAACACGUGGAUAACCUACCUAUAAGACUGGGAUAACUUCGGGAAACCGGAGCUAAUACCGGAUAAUAUAUUGAACCGCAUGGUUCAAUAGUGAAAGACGGUUUUGCUGUCACUUAUAGAUGGAUCCGCGCCGCAUUAGCUAGUUGGUAAGGUAACGGCUUACCAAGGCAACGAUGCGUAGCCGACCUGAGAGGUGGAGCAGCCGCACGAGAAGUGAGAGAGGGUCGAGACUCCGAGGGGAGGCGUGAGGAGGGAAUCUGCCGAAAUUGGCGAAAGCCGGGCGGAGCAACGCCGCGUGAGUGAUGAAGGUCUUCGGAUCGUAAAACUCUGUUAUUAGGGAAGAACAAAUGUGUAAGUAACUAUGCACGUCUUGACGGUACCUAAUCAGAAAGCCACGGCUAACUACGUG